UUCACCUUAAGCACAGUCUAACAGGUGUAGGCUUAGUGGGGAGCUAAUGGGUCUGUAAACCCAAAGUAGGAUUUGCCUCUGAUUCUUUAGCCAUGUGGGCAGUGAAGCCCUUUCCUUGAGGGUGGGGGGCAGAAGGAGUAUAUGUCCAUGAAAUAUCCUUGUAUAACGUAUUAAUUAUCUUUUUGAAGAAAACGCGGCUAUGUUUUCUUUUGUAUGCCUGUAAUCUCACUGAAAUUGCCUUCCAAUCCCAUGAAAAAUGCUCCCUGCCUCUGCCUGUUAGCUGAAAGUCAGACAUCUUUCAGCUUCGUUGAAUCAUAAAUUUUGUAAGGAAGACAUUGUAAAAUUCAAGAUUAAGACUACCUACUGCCUGCUUAUCAGCUCUUUCACCUUUUCCUGCUACAUACUCACCUGAAACCAAUACCUCCACCUUCCUCUACUUUUUAAAAUGACCACACAAAUACAGUCAUUUUGCUUGAAAGGUAUUCUGUUUUCAUAAUGUCAUAAUGUUGGACUCUGGGUGGCAGCA